GCCCUAACCUACACCUCUCUGUCUCCCACAGGCAUCCAUGACCUCGCACAAGCCCCUGCACGCCAGCCACAGCCCGCCCACAUCAGGAGAGCUCUGCGGGCUCUGCGCAGGGCUUUGUGCUGCAGCUUCAUCCCAGAAGAGUGGGAGUAGCAGCAAUGUAUCAGCAAUGUAGCCCGGUGGUCGUGGGCAGGGGUCUUUCAGGAUGAAGGCAACGAGGAAGAGGAGGGAUGCCUCCUGCUAUUAAGAGCCGGCUGCUCACACCCCAGAGUCGCUCUCCAGCCAGACUCUCCAGGGCGACAGGGAAGGCACAGCUGGGCCAGGCUGCUGGGGAAAAAGAGCCUUCUCCCAAAUGAGGCUGGGGGAAAGCCAUAGAAGGCAGCCCCAGAGCUCUUCCCCUUGAGUCAUCGAGAAGCUUUCCUUGCACGCAGGGACUUGUUGAACUCCACAAUGGGCCUGACACAUGUCCCACUGACGGCAGGUUCCUGCCUGGGCACCCAGCAGGAUUGGGCUCUACAUACCUCGGGGAAGAGCUGCAGGGAGAAGAGCCUCUCCAAGCACCCAAGGGUUUGCUUUGGGAAAGAAGGGAGACGCAAGUGUGGAGGGAGAGUCUACCAGAACAGGUGUAUCCCGUUUUCUUUUCCUGAAUUAUGCCUGUCUGUUCUUGGACACCGGCAUUCCUCGGGACACGGUGCAGCGCCGCAUUCAAGAGACCCUGCUCUUUCUCUCUUGCACCCUUAGAAAGAAGCAGGCUGUUGA